AGUGAACGCUGGCGGCGUGCUUAACACAUGCAAGUCGAACGAGAACGGAAUAUAGCUUGCUAUAUUUGUCAGCUAAGUGGCGCACGGGUGAGUAAUGUAUAGAUAACCUGCCCUUAAGAAAGGAAUAACAGUUGGAAACGACUGCUAAUGCCCUAUAUGCCUUUAAUACAUACAUAUGCAAUGGAAACGCUUUAGUGCUUAAGGUUGGCUCUGUAUGGUAUCAGCUUGUUGGUGAGGUAAUGGCUCACCAAGGCUAUGACGCCUAACUGGUUUGAGAGGAUGAUCAGUCAAACUGGAACUGAGACACGGUCCAGACUCCUACGGGAGGCAGCAGUGGGGAAUAUUGCACAAUGGACGAAAGUCUGAUGCAGCAACGCCGCGUGGAGGAUGACACAUUUCGGUGCGUAAACUCCUUUUAUAUAGGAAGAUAAUGACGGUACUAUAUGAAUAAGCACCGGCUAACUCCGUGCCAGCCGCCGCAGUAA
rnacentral:rRNA from 1 species